rnacentral:rRNA from 1 species
UACGUAGGGUGCAAGCGUUGUCCGGAAUCAUUGGGCGUAAAGAGCGUGUAGGCGGCCUCGUAAGUCCGCUGUGAAAGUCCAGGGCUCAACCCUGGGAUGCCGGUGGAUACUGCGAGGCUAGAGUCCGGAAGGGGCGAGUGGAAUUCCUGGUGUAGCGGUGAAAUGCGCAGAUAUCGGGAGGAACACCGGUGGCGAAGGCGGUUCUCUGGGCCUUACCUGACGCUGAGGAGCGAAAGCGUGGGGAGCGAACAGG